GAACUCCCGGCUCAGAGAGUUCUCCACCGCUCCUCCCAGGCUCACGAGGCUCACGGGCUACCCAGCGCCAGCGGCCCAGGAGGCUGGACCACAGGUAAGACGAGGCCCAAGGCCUGCCUCUGGGAACUCGGCCCUGGCUUGGCUCUGCCCUCCUCACUCCCACAGGAUCUCCGUGCCCACCAGGCCUCAGUCCCGACUUCUCCCUGCUGCCCGGCACGGGACCCUCCCCCAGGACAGCCACCUCCCAGUGCUGAAGAGCCGGCCCGCCUCAGAGCCGCCCGCCGUUCCUUUUUCCUAUGCAUAUACUUCUUUGAGGAUCUGGCCUAAAGAGGUAUAGGGCAUGGGAAAACGGGGCGGUCGGGUCCUCCCCAGCG
rnacentral:lncRNA from 1 species